rnacentral:lncRNA from 1 species
GCUAAAGGUCGUAAGCAAGGACAAUGAACCUGGAAUUUGGAGGAAUUCAUACUCCAGUGAAGAAUUUCCAGACCCCUCAUGAAAAUAGCAGAUUGCCUACUCACCAGAGAAUACUCAAGCUGAAACUAAGCAGCCCCUGGAGGGUAAGCAAAUGAUUAGAAGGGUAGAUUUCAGGCAAGCAAAAGGGUGAGAGCCCAGAAUCUCCAUGUGAAUGACCCUAAAAUUACAGGUAAUAUAGGAAGUGGCUUCCUUGUACCUCUAGAAAUUGAACUCUCAGAACCUGACUGACAGUCUGCUCUUAAGAACAUUACCUCAAUCUGGAGAGAAAUGUGUGUUUCCUCUCCUAUAUGGAUUUCAGACAGAAGCAGAAGGAGGCUUAGAGGUUCUUCGUCACAAGUUGCCAAAAUGAAACAGAACUGUGAAAAGAAAAUGGAGAUGCUUCUUCAGGAGGUGCCCGUGAUGUGAUUUACUUGAUGAUUAUGGCCUGCAGGGUAUUGAGAUGGGAUUAUGUAACUUAAAUAAACUGGAUAUGAGUAGAGAUCUGAAAGAUUUUUCAAAAACAUUCAGCUUUACUUUUUUUUUUCUCCUAAGGAACAAGUUGUUCACUCAUAGAGCUGAAAAGGAUAAAUGAAGUGUUCAGUUCACAGAAGCAAAAUAUGAGUAGUUCAUAUAUCUUUUGUAAAUGUUCUAUGUAUCACUGUAAACUAGACAUCUUCCACAUGCCCCUAUGUUUUUCCAUUUUGAAAUCAAUUUCUAGUUCAAACUUGUCAAUAGACAAUGAAUAUUUGCAAAGUUAUAGUUUCACUGAAUUAGGAUGUAACCUGUAGCUCACAAUGAAAAUGCCAUUAGCUUGAGUUUAAAAUUUAUGUUGCUAUUUUUUUCUUUUGUCAAUAUUUUCCUUCUGUGGGACUUAUUGCACAAGGGUCGGAUAUCACAACUGAGGGAAACUGCAGAACAAUGGUUCUUCCAAUCAUUCAGACCCAUUUAAGCCAUAGUCUUUGUUGGCUUUGCCAAAUGACUGAAUGCUUGGGUCUAUUAGCACUGUCAAAUAGUGUUGAGUACAUACUUGUGGCAUAAGCAAGUUAAUAUUUAUAGGGAGCACUUUUGCAUGUCUUUUAAGUCACAUACUAAUUU